rnacentral:rRNA from 1 species
UACGAAGGGGGGCUAGCGUUGCUCGGAAUUACUGGGCGUAAAGGGAGCGUAGGCGGACUGUUUAGUCAGAGGUGAAAGCCCAGGGCUCAACCUUGGAAUUGCCUUUGAUACUGGCAGUCUUGAGUACGGAAGAGGUAUGUGGAACUCCGAGUGUAGAGGUGAAAUUCGUAGAUAUUCGGAAGAACACCAGUGGCGAAGGCGACAUACUGGUCCGUUACUGACGCUGAGGCUCGAAAGCGUGGGGAGCAAACAGG